rnacentral:lncRNA from 1 species
CAGGAGUCCCCGUGGGCCCAGUAAUGAGACAGCAGAGAACAAAGGAAAGUGAGGACAUGGAAAGGGAAAGGCCAGGCCCUGGGUUCAUGGAUCCACCACACCUGAUGGACUUUGCAAUUCCCGGGCUUUCUGAUAAAGCUGACUCCUCACUGAAUGUAUACAAAGAAAGA